rnacentral:rRNA from 1 species
AGUUUGAUCCUGGCUCAGGACGAACGCUGGCGGCGUGCCUAAUGCAUGCAAGUCGCACGCACUCGCUUCGGCGGGUGAGUGGCGCACGGCUGAGUAACACGUGGGAACCCGCCCCCCGGUGGGGGAUAACGCGACGAAAGUCGCGCUAAUCCCGCAUACGUCCGCAGGGGGAAAGCGCUUCGGCGCGCCGGGGGAGGGGCCUGCGGCCCAUCAGGUCGUUGGUGGGGUAACGGCCUACCAAGCCGAUGACGGGUAGCUGGUCUGGGAGGAUGACCAGCCAGACUGGGACUGAGACACGGCCCAGACUCCUACGGGAGGCAGCAGCAAGGAAUUUUCGGCAAUGGGCGCAAGCCUGACCGAGCAACGCCGCGUGCGGGAUGACGGCCUUCGGGUUGUAAACCGCUUUUCGGGGGGACGAUGAUGACGGUACCCCCGGAACAAGCCCCGGCUAACUCUGUGCCAGCAGCCGCGGUAAGACAGAGGGGGCGAGCGUUGUCCGGAGUCACUGGGCGUAAAGCGCGCGCAGGCGGUCGCCAAAGUGUCGUGUGAAAGCCCCCGGCUCAACCGGGGGAGGCCAUGGCAAACUCGGCGACUGGAGCGGCGGAGAGGCCCCUCGAAUUGCCGGUGUAGCGGUGAAAUGCGUAGAGAUCGGCAGGAAGACCAAGGGGGAAGCCAGGGGGCUGGCCGCUGGCUGACGCUGAGGCGCGACAGCGUGGGGAGCGAACCGGAUUAGAUACCCGGGUAGUCCACGCCGUAAACAAUGACCACUCGGCGUGCGGCGACUAUUGACGUCGCGGUGCGCCUUAGCUCACGCGCUAAGUGGUCCGCCUGGGAACUACGAGCGCAAGCUUAAAACUCAAAGGGAAUUGACGGGGGCCCGCACAAGCAGCGGAGCGUGUGGUUUAAUUCGAGGCAACCCGAAGAA